rnacentral:rRNA from 1 species
AUACGAAUGGAGCAAGCGUUGUUCGGAAUCACUGGGCGUAAAGCGUACGUAGGCUGAUUUUCAAGUCAGAAGUGAAAGCCCAGGGCUCAACCCUGGAACUGCUUUUGAAACUGGAAGUCUAGAGUCCCGGAGAGGUUAGGGGAAUUCCGAGUGUAGCAGUGAAAUGCGCAGAUAUUCGGAGGAACACCAGUGGCGUAGGCGCCUAACUGGACGGGAACUGACGCUGAGGUACGAAAGCGUGGGGAGCAAACAGGAUUAGAAACCCUAGUAGUCC